rnacentral:rRNA from 1 species
UACAGAGGGUGCGAGCGUUGUUCGGAAUUAUUGGGCAUAAAGGGCGCGUAGGCGGCGCCACAAGUCACCUGUGAAAACUCUGGGCUCAACCCAGAGCCUGCAGGCGAAACUGUGGUGCUGGAGUAUGGGAGAGGUGCGUGGAAUUCCCGGUGUAGUGGUGAAAUGCGUAGAGAUCGGGAGGAACACCAGUGGCGAAGGCGGCCGGCUGGGGGUGACCUGACGCUGAGGCGCGAAAGCGUGGGGAGCAAACAGG